UACAGAGGUCUCAAGCGUUGUUCGGAUUCAUUGGGCGUAAAGGGUGCGUAGGCGGCGCGGUAAGUCGGGUGUGAAAUCUCGGAGCUUAACUCCGAAACUGCAUUCGAUACUGCCGUACUUGAGGACUGGAGAGGAGACUGGAAUUUACGGUGUAGCGGUGAAAUGCGUAGAUAUCGUAAGGAAGACCAGUGGCGAAGGCGGGUCUCUGGACAGUUCCUGACGCUGAGGCACGAAGGUCAGGGGAGCAAACGGG
rnacentral:rRNA from 1 species